AAUUCUCAACCUUACCGACUUUAUUGUUGGUCUGGCUUGGAUGUGGGGGUUUUUGCAGGCUUUUACAAGUCAGCUCCCCUGAAAUAUAUUAGCGGUACCCUUGUGGUAAACGGCUAUUGGUGUGAUAAUUAUCUACGCCAUCUCAGCCGCCCACAUCUUUUUAAUUAAAGGAAAGGGUUAUGCUGCUUCAAAUCGUCCAUUGACUUGGACAAAGUAAAUGACAA
rnacentral:misc_RNA from 1 species